AUUGAACGCUGGCGGCAGGCCUAACACAUGCAAGUCGAGCGGAUGAAGGGAGCUUGCUCCUGGAUUCAGCGGCGGACGGGUGAGUAAUGCCUAGGAAUCUGCCUGGUAGUGGGGGAUAACGUCCGGAAACGGGCGCUAAUACCGCAUACGUCCUGAGGGAGCAAGUGGGGGAUCUUCGGACCUCACGCUAUCAGAUGAGCCUAGGUCGGAUUAGCUAGUUGGUGGGGUAAAGGCCUACCAAGGCGACGAUCCGUAACUGGUCUGAGAGGAUGAUCAGUCACACUGGAACGGAGACACGGUCCAGACUACUACGGGAGGCAGCAGUGGGGAAUAGUGGACAAUGGGCGAAAGCCUGAUCCAGCCAUGCCGCGUGUGUGAAGAAGGUCUUCGGAUUGUAAAGCACUUUAAGUUGGGAGGAAGGGCAGUAAGUUAAUACCUUGCUGUUUUGACGUUACCAACAGAAUAAGCACCGGCUAACUUCGUG
rnacentral:rRNA from 1 species